UUGACAUACUAAGAACUUUCCAGAGAUGGAUUGGUGCCUUCGGGAACUUAGAUACAGGUGCUGCAUGGCUGUCGUCAGCUCGUGUCGUGAGAUGUUGGGUUAAGUCCCGCAACGAGCGCAACCCUUUUCCUUAUUUGCCAGCGGGUCAUGCCGGGAACUUUAAGGAUACUGCCAGUGACAAACUGGAGGAAGGCGGGGACGACGUCAAGUCAUCAUGGCCCUUACGGCCAGGGCUACACACGUGCUACAAUGGUCGGUACAAAGGGUUGCUACCUCGCGAGAGGAUGCUAAUCUCAAGAAGCCGAUCGUAGUCCGGAUCGCAGUCUGCAACUCGACUGCGUGAAGUCGGAAUCGCUAGUAAUCGCGGAUCAGAAUGCCGCGGUGAAUACGUUCCCGGGCCUUGUACACACCGCCCGUCACACCAUGGGAGUUUGUUGCACCAGAAGUGGGUAGUCUAACCGCAAGGAGGACGCUUACCACGGUGUGGCCGAUGACUGGGGUGAAGUCGUAACAAGGUAGGCGUAGAUGA
rnacentral:rRNA from 1 species